UACGAAGGGGGCUAGCGUUACUCGGAUUGACUGGGCGUAAAGGGCGCGUAGGCGGUUCGUACAGUCAGACGUGAAAUUCCUGGGCUCAACCUGGGGGCUGCGUUUGAUACGUGCGGGCUUGAGUUCGGAAGAGGGUCGUGGAAUUCCCAGUGUAGAGGUGAAAUUCGUAGAUAUUGGGAAGAACACCGGUGGCGAAGGCGGCGACCUGGUCCGGCAUUGACGCUGAGGAGCGAAAGCCAGGGGAGCAAACGGG
rnacentral:rRNA from 1 species